GAGAAUAACUAUUCUGCACCCGGUCCAUCCAACGAGCCGGAUUCCACCGCGGACCAGAUGUAACCAGCCGGGCCAGAGCGAGUUACGGUCAUCUAAUUUUUCAUCCGCGUCUCGCUGACGUAAUUUACCACUCUUUCUUUACAACGACGGUUUGUCCGUGGAGGUAAACCCACCUCCCUCGGAUCGUGCGUGCGGCUCGGGAUUUUUCGUUUGGUGGAGUGGGGGUGUGGCUGCGGCGAUCGGCGAUUGGCGAGGAUGAGCGGCGCCGGCGGCAACGGCUCGGGAAGGAGCAGUCGGCGGCGGCGCAAGAGCAGGAGGAGCGGCGCAAGAGCAGGAGGAGCGGCGCGGCGAGAGCAGACACACGGCGUGGCGGCGGCUGGCUACGCGGCUUGCUCAAGCUGGCUCAAGCCUGGGCGCCUGGGCGGCGCCGGCGCCGACGGUUGGGGCGACGUCCACCUCCAUCCCCAUCUCCUCCUCCGCAGGGCAAAGCCUCAUCCGCUUCACCAUGGAGCCGUGAUCCCCUGCGUCAAACAUGCCCCUCGCUAGUCUUCUUCUCUCUCUCGCCGGCGCUCGUGCGUGAGCUGGACACAGAGAUGCUGCUCCUGCUGCCGCCGCCGCUUGGUUCCUUGGUAGCAGCAUCAACUAAAAGGGUGAUCUGUAGACAGCUUUGUUGUUGACGGUGGCGACCAUUGGACUUGUAGCUAGCCGGCAGUUUGGUUACCUUGAGGAAGUAAUCACAGUAACCUGCAAGGAGCCAGAAUUAAUCACCUUCACCUUCUAGGCUUAGUCAACCAACUGCAGUGAAUAAUACUCAGGGAAGUUUGCCAAAGCCUUUCCAACAUUUGAGUGGUGAUUGCAGCAAAGUUGCCUUAUCAGCAGGUAUAACCCCCCUUGAAAUCUCCAAUCAUUUGGCACUGAAAGAUAUUGUGAAUCAGAUGUGGACUUAUGUUUUCUCCCUGAAACUUGUGGAUGCAUUUCACAAGAUCCUGAAAGCUAGCUGGAAUUGGAAAGAAAAGUCCCUUGGUACUAUUUCUAGGCAGUUUAACGAUAUGUUUUCUAUUGCACAGAAGGCUUGAAAAUUAACAGUGGUUUAGUUUCAUGAA